GCCACUGUAGCUCAGUUGGUCAGAGCAUCCGACUCAUAAUCGGCUGGUCGUGGGUUCAAGCCCCACCAGUGGCCCCA
rnacentral:tRNA from 1 species